rnacentral:lncRNA from 1 species
AUGAGUGUUGGAAUUUGUGGGUACGGAGAGACAACAUUUGGACUCUCAGAAAAAAGCUGUAAACUGGGGAACAGGCUGAGGCCCUUUGUGAAGAGAUGGGUUAAAACCAGUGAAGCAGGAGCUAUUCCAGUGUCCAGUGUCCUCAGCUCAUUCUCCCGUGGUGAUGCUGCCAGAGAGCAGAGACCAGCCAUCAGAAGCACAUUAAUUCUGGUCUUUUCUUGUAUCUCUCAAAUAGUGCCCAAAAAAAAGAGACACUGUUUGCACCCCCGGGCUCACUGGUUCAGUCUUUCUCCUUCUUCCCCGGCUUCUCACCACUCCUCAUGCACUGUCGGUGGAAGCCCUGCCUCUACCUGCAAUAGGAAACUGAGCCGAGAGACGGUCCCCUUAUGGCCUCUAACCUGCGCAUCUCAGGCACGAGUACAGGUAGAACCCCAGGGCAUCAGCCAGGAAGCGCCAUCCUGAAUGGAAAGAGAGCCAAAGGCUGGCCUUUAGAGAGACUACCAGAGAUCCUCUCCCUUCAGCAUUCCUGCCUUCCUUAUUCCCUGUGUCCUGGGCCCUCUGCACACCUUAUCUCCAGCCCUGUUUGGCAUCGACAUUCUAAUUCUCUGGCUUGAACAGCCUCCCAGACCAUGCUG